rnacentral:misc_RNA from 1 species
CGCACAUUGCGCCCUUUGGCAUUCCGAAGGGCAUGCCUGUUCGAGCGUCAUUAUCAACCCUCAAGCCUAGCUUGGUGUUGGGCGGCAGUGGCUAUUCACCCGCCCCAAAGGCAACGACGGCGGCUACACGACCCCUGGUACAACGAGCUUUUAACUAGGCACGUACUGCGGUGGGCGUGGGGACCCGGUCUUACCACAUAUUUUCUCAGGUUGACCUCGGAUCAGGUAGGGAUACCCGCUGAACUUAA